AUACGUAGGGAGCGAGCGUUGUCCGGAAUUACUGGGUGUAAAGGGUGCGUAGGCGGGACUGCAAGUCAGAUGUGAAAUGCCGGGGCUCAACCCCGGAGCUGCAUUUGAAACUGUGGUUCUUGAGUGAAGUAGAGGUAAGCGGAAUUCCUGGUGUAGCGGGGAAAUGCGUAGAUAUCAGGAGGAACACCGGUGGCGAAGGCGGCUUACUGGGCUUUUACUGACGCUGAGGCUCGAAAGCGUGGGGAGCAAACAGGAUUAGAUACCCUGGUAGUCCACGCUGUAAACGAUGAUUACUAGGUGUGGGGGGACUGACCCCUUCCGUGCCGCAGUUAACACAAUAAGUAAUCCACCUGGGGAGUACGGCCGCAAGGUUGAAACUUAAAGGAAUUGACGGGG
rnacentral:rRNA from 1 species